UGAUCAUGAGCUGCUUAGUUCUGAAGAAACUUAUCUUUGGAGGCAUCGAGUGCGACUAUAUCACUCAUUGAAAUUUAAUUUUCUGGAUUUACAAGAUCUACAUGAGGUUCAACAGUUUGCUGGUCGAGUGGAGUUUGUGGGAAACACAUUAAGAAUUAAAGAUGUCAAGAUGGCUGAUUCUGGACAAGUUCUAAUCAGGAUCACUGACAUGUUCGGCGGUGAAUUUACCGGUUCUCCUGGAGUCUAUCUUACUGUGACGGAUACACAGGUGAGAAGCAGUCCAGACCCUGUGAUAGAUGGAGAAAAAGUGAUAUUAAGCUGUUCAACUGAAUGCACUCUGGAUAACAAACAUACUUACAUCUGGUAUAAGAAUGGACAACAGGUAACAGAUGGAUUGAGAUUAUUAAACAAGCUGUACCUGGACUCAAUCAACAGUGAGGAGCUACAAGAGUAUUCCUGUACUGUAAGAGAUACAAUGGACU